GGAAGGAUCAUUACAAAAUUAGUUGAGUGUGGUGUGGUGUUGUAGGGGUGAGCGUUGGUGCUUGGUGAUUGAGCAAUCGAUUGACAAGUUCCGUACUCACUCUGAGACCCACUCGCGCACUUUGAGCCCACUCCUGAAAGGGAGCUGGACGCAUGCUUCGGUGUGCAAAUAAACAUUAAAUCAUGACUUAUAACCAACAAAAAGUAAUUAACAAAACUUUUAACAAUGGAUCUCUUGGCUCUUGCAACGAUGAAGAACGCAGUGAAAUGCGAAACGUAAUGCGAUUUGCAGCAUCUGUGAGUCAUCGAGUCUUUGAACGCACUUGGCACCUGGAGAUGAUCCAGGUAUACCUGUUUGAGCAGAAUAACCAAUUUUAUGUGAGUCUUAGUGUGUGAGCAGUAUGACUUGAAAAGAGUUUGAAUGGGACGUGCAAGUAUGCGUGUACUGUGUGAUCGCAAGGCCGUGGUCUUGAUUCACGGGAAGCGUUAUGCUUUGGACGGGUAAUCCGAUUCACAACAAAAAUAACAUUUUUUUUCUCUCAAAUCAGGCAAGAUUACCCGCUGAACUUAAGCAUAUCAGUAAGCGGAGGAAAAGAAACUAACAAGGAUUCCCUCAGUAACGGCGAGUGAAGCGGGAAGAGCUCAAAUUUGGAAUCGCUGCGUUGUGCGCAGUGAAUUGUAAUUUCAAGACAUGAGGGAGAGUGGAGGGAUGCGUUCAAGUCUCCUGGAAUGGAGCACCACAGAGGGUGACAGUCCCGUCUGGACGUGUGUCUUUGCGGAACUCUAGUGUCGACGAGUCGAGUUGCUUGGGAAUGCAGCUCCAAUGGGUGGUAAAUUCCAUCCAAGGCUAAAUAUUGGCAAGAGACCGAUAGCGAACAAGUACCGUGAGGGAAAGAUGAAAAGCACCUUGAAAAGGGAGUUAAAUAGCACGUGAAAUUGUUAAAAGGGAAACGAUCGCGGCUGAGUGUGGGGCGUACUGAGGAUACUCUUCUGCGGGAGGGUGUUGUAUGGUGCGUUCUGAGUCUGUGCUGGUGUGUGUGGCCGAAGAAUACUGGGCAGAGGGCAUGUGACGCGCGAGUGUUGCAUUGUCUCGCCUGGGGACACGGUUGUGCGUACUGGGAUGGAUGAUUGGCCUUGAACGACCCGUCUUGAAACACGGACCAAGGAGUCUAACAUGUAAGCGAGUAUUUGGGUGGCAAACCCGGAUGCGUAGCGAAAGCGAAUGGUAUGAGGGAUGCGAGUCUUGCAGUACCGGUGUGUGUCGAAGUCAUUGUCCUCACACAGCCUGAGCUUACAUGCUGGGACCCGAAAGAUGGUGAACUAUGCCUGAAUAGGGCGAAGCCAGAGGAAACUCUGGUGGAGGCUCGUAGCCGUUCUGACGUGCAAAUCGAUGGUCAAAUUUGGGUAUAGGGGCGAAAGACUAAUCGAACCAUCUAGUAGCUGGUUCCCUC
rnacentral:misc_RNA from 1 species